UACGGAGGGUGCAAACGUUGCUCGGAAUCAUUGGGCGUAAAGCGCACGUAGGCGGCUCGUUAAGUCGGAUGUGAAAGCCCCGGGCUCAACCCGGGAAGUGCAUUCGAAACUGGCGAGCUUGAAUAUGGAAGAGGGUCGCGGAAUUCCCGGUGUAGAGGUGAAAUUCGUAGAUAUCGGGAGGAACACCAGUGGCGAAGGCGACACGCUGGGCCGUACCUGACACUGAUGCGCGACAGCAUGGGGAGCAACAGG
rnacentral:rRNA from 1 species